CUUCUUUCAGGUCAGCGGCAUGUCCAGGCUCCCCAAGGAGAAAAAAAGUAUGUGAUCCUGCACUCGUCUCCUCUGAUCCUGCACUGAACUCACAUGGUCCUGGUCCUGCACUUGACUCCCGUCAUCCUGCUCCUGCACUCGACUCACUUAAUCCUGAUCCUGCACUCGUCUCACAUGAUCCUGAUCUCGCACGCGUCUCCUGUGAUCCUGCACUUGUGUCGCCUGAUCCUGAUCCUGCACUCAUUAGUACUAUAUCGGUAUGUGAUUCUGCUGUUACCCUAAGUGAUCCUGCACGCAUCUCCUGUGGUCCUGCACUCUACUCCCG